UCUUCCUACUCCAGUAAGGUUGCUCAUGUUUGUGAUGCAGGUUACGUCGCUGGAUUUGUAGACUUGGAGGUGAGCAACAGACCAGACCUCUAUGAUGUGUUUGUGAAUCUGGCAGAGAGUGAGAUUACCAUUGCUCCCCUUGCAAAAGAGGCCAUGGCAAUGGGCAAACUGCACAAAGAAAUGGGUCAGCUAAUUGUUCAGUCUGCAGAAGAUCCAGAGAAAUCAGAGAGCCAGGUUAUACAGGUAACUCCGUCACCUUCUGACUUACUGAAAGUCCUGACGUGGUGUUGCUGGGUGGUGUGUGGCAGAGCUGUGCACAUAAGCAGAGUGGGGGGCUGUGGUAGAGGCCAGCGGGCAGGUGCUUAGAGAGGGUUUACAGACGGCCACAGCGAUGAUGGACAAGCAGGUGCAGGCUGGCCUGAUCUAGUUAGUUACUGGGCUCGAGGGCAGGUAUACAGAGGGGCUGGUGCUGACACUGACCGCUGGCAAUGAGAAAUGUAACUACCAAGUGGUCUGGAAGGCUUUUCUGGGCCAGCCAGUGCAUUCUUUCUUCCUAGGAGAAUUUCCCUGGAGGAACAAAUUAUAAAGGGGAGGUUGUUGCUGAGCAUGGGGAACUAGAUUGUCAAAAUUUCGCUUUGCUUGUCUCCAGGACAACAGAAAUCAUGCAGUCAGACUCCUGUCCCACUUAGUGACUGUUGCCACAUGCCGCAGAGCCAGCUCCUUGCUGGCGUCUACCUGGCAUGCUGACCAGCGUCCAUGUGGCCCAGUGGGCACCUGCUCUGCCCUUGCCAAACUGGGAUGGCAAAUGGGUUUUAUUUCUUGUGCUUUCCACAUGGUGGCCUGCAGCCCGCCCAGCUCCUUGCAUUUGGCCUGUUCACAGCUCCUUGCUCCUCUCCUGAAGGAUACACUUCCAGCGUUGCCUUAUCUAGAUGCCUGACUCAUAACCUGGGGCUGGAGGGCCCAGAAGGACUGUCUCCCAUCUGCACCUGUCCUACCUGGGGGUACGGGGGCACCUCUGAUAUGCAGGCUUUACUCAUUCGGCCCAACCUGGUGCCUUCUUCAUUUAUCCAUUCAUUUACUCAGUGUUUCUUGAGCUCUGUUUGUUAGGCAUUGCACUGGCAGUGGGGAUGCAGUGGUGAGCAAAUCCCUGCCCUCAUGGAGUCUGUAAUUUAGUGGAGUAGAUGCACAGAAAAUAAUAAAUGACAAGAUAAUUACAGCCCAUGUUAGGUGCUGUGACAGAAGGGGUUGAGGUGGAGAAUAUUGGGGGAUGGGUAGGCCAGAUCUCUAAGGAGGUGACAUGUCAGCAGAAAGAUGAGAGGGGCCAUUUCUCUGCAGUGCUGGUGGCCUGGCCAGCUGUGAGCAGGAAGAGUGGGCUGAUCUUGCCCUGAGGACCUGAACACUGGAGACUCUGGGGCCGCUUCUUUCCUACCAUGGGAAUCCUCACUGCCCACCUACCCCCAGCAUUAGAGUAAAGACAUAUUCUUACAAUAUCGGCAACAUAUGCGAAUCUGAGUUUUGCAUUACUGUGUUGUUCACAGACUAAAAGUGCUACCUAGAUGACUUAGUAUGACGUAUGAGACCUUGGGGAGGGCAAGUGAAAGUGCUGGGAAUGCUCUAAGAGUUCAAAAAUACAUGAAUGAAUUAAUGAUGUCAGCAAACAAGGAAGA
rnacentral:sRNA from 1 species